AACGAACGCUGGCGGCGUGCCUAAUACAUGCAAGUCGAGCGAGAAAGCCUCUUCGGAGGUGAGUAAAGCGGCGCACGGGUGAGUAACACGUGGGCAACCUACCCUUGAGUCUGGGAUAACCCGGGGAAACUCGGGCUAAUACCAGAUACGGCUGCGGGGUCUUCGGAUCCUGUGGAGAAAGAUGGCCUCUUCUUGAAAGCUAUCUCUCGAGGAUGGGCCCGCGUCCUAUUAGCUAGNGGUGAGGUAACGGCUCACCAAGGCAAAGAUGGGUAGCUGGUCUGAGAGGAUGGCCAGCCACACUGGAACUGAGACACGGUCCAGACUCCUACGGGAGGCAGCAGUAGGGAAUUUUGGGCAAUGGGCGAAAGCCUGACCCAGCAACGCCGCGUGU
rnacentral:rRNA from 1 species